rnacentral:rRNA from 1 species
AUUGAACGCUGGCGGCAGGCUUAACACAUGCAAGUCGAGCGAGCGGCGGACGGGUGAGUAAUGUCUGGGACACAGCUUGAUGGAGGGGGAUAAAAACUGGAAACGGUAGCUAAUAAUGCAUACCAUCAGAUGUGCCCAGAUGGGAUUAGCUAGUAGGUGGGGUAAUGGCCCACCUAGGCGACGAUCCCUAGCUGGUCUGAGAGGAUGACCAGCAACACUGGAGCUGAGACACGGCCCAGACUCCUACGGGAGGCAGCAGUGGGGAAUAUUGCACAAUGGGCGCAAGCCUGAUGCAACCAUGCCACGUGGGGUGAGAAGGCCUUGGGGUUGGAAAGCUCUUUCAGCGAGGAGGCGUUACUCGAAGAAUAAGCACCGGCUAACUCCGUGCCAGCAGCCGCGGUAAUAC